rnacentral:rRNA from 1 species
GACGAACGCUGGCGGCGUGCCUAAUACAUGCAAGUAGAACGCACAGUUUAUACCGUAGCUUGCUACACCAUAAACUGUGAGUUGCGAACGGGUGAGUAACGCGUAGGUAACCCGCCUGGUAGCGGGGGAUAACUAUUGGAAACGAUAGCUAAUACCGCAUAAUAUUGAUUAUUGCAUGAUAAUUGAUUGAAAGAUGCUAUUGCAUCACUACCAGAUGGACCUGCGUUGUAUUAGCUAGUAGGUGAGGUAACGGCUCACCUAGGCGACGAUACAUAGCCGACCUGAGAGGGUGAUCGGCCACACUGGGACUGAGACACGGCCCAGACUCCUACGGGAGGCAGCAGUAGGGAAUCUUCGGCAAUGGACGAAAGUCUGACCGAGCAGCGCCGCGUGAGUGAAGAAGGUUUUCGGAUCGUAAAGCUCUGUUGUAAGAGAAGAACGGGUGUGAGAGUGGAAAGUUCACACUGUGACGGUAUCUUACCAGAAAGGGACGGCUAACUACGUG